rnacentral:rRNA from 1 species
UACGUAGGGGGCAAGCGUUGUUCGGAAUUACUGGGCGUAAAGGGCGCGUAGGCGGCACGGCAAGUCAGGAGUGAAAGCCCGGGGCUCAACCCGGAAUGUCUUUUGAAACUGCCGAGCUAGAGUGCGGAAGAGGCAACUGGAAUUCCCAGUGUAGCGGUGAAAUUCGUAGAUAGUUGGGAAGAACACCGGUGGCGAAGGCGGCUCACUGGCUCAUUACUGACGCUCAGGCGCGAUAGCGUGGGAUCAAACAGG